AGCAGCCGCGGUAAUUCCAGCUCCAAUAGCGUAUAUUAAAGUUGUUGCAGUUAAAAAGCUCGUAGUUGAAUUUCGGGAUUGGCGCAUCGGUCGUGCCUCACGGGGUAUGAACUGGUGCAGUCAAUUUCUCACCUUCUGGAGAACCGCGAUGUCCUUAAUUGGAUGCCGCGGGGAACCAGGACCUUUACUUUGAAAAAUUAGAGUGUUUAAAGCAGGCAUUUUUGCUUGAAUACAUUAGCAUGGAAUAAUAAAAUAGGACGGCAUGGUUCUAUUUUGUUGGUUUCUAGGACCACCGUAAUGAUUAAUAGGGAUAGUUGGGGGCAUUAGUAUUCAAUUGUCAGAGGUGAAAUUCUUGGAUUUAUUGAAGACUAACUACUGCGAAAGCAUUUGCCAAGGAUGUUUUCAUUAAUCAAGACGAAAGUUAGGGGAUCGAAGACGAUCAGAUACCGUCGUAGUCUUAACCAUAAACUAAUGCCGACUAGGAAUCAGACGAUGUUAAUUUUUAAUGUACUCG
rnacentral:rRNA from 1 species